AAAAAAACCCAGCAAAAACCCCUGGCUGCAUUUUCAACACUGAAUUAUCACUCCACAGUUUCUCUCCCCAAAAAAGUCCAUGUAGUAAAAGCUCGAUGAUGAUCGUCCAUUCAUCUCUAAAGGCAAAAAUAUAUAGAGUUAUAAACACAACUACCAAGAAUCAUAUUCUCCAAAAACCAAAAAAAGAAAAAGGAACUGCGAUUUGCAGCCCUUUUUGAUGAUGCCAGCUCUUUAACUUUCACGCUUCUUGUCACCGCCGUCUCCUGUUUCAUAGCUAUGAGAAGUUGAAAAUGAAAAAAAAAAGCUUCAAUAACUGCAAAUACGUUGUGGUUUCCAUUUGUUUUCUUGUAAUUUGAUGGGAAAAACUUACACUUAACAUUGCAAUAAAUCUUUUUGUUGCAAAAAGUAAUUGAAGAUAUGAGAGAUCCUUUUGUUUUCUUUA